GGUUUCCCGUAGGUGAACCUGCGGAAGGAUCAUUAA
rnacentral:rRNA from 1 species